rnacentral:lncRNA from 1 species
AUUACGAGAAUACAUUUAGCGUGUUACCUACGUUUUAGAGGCGCGUAGCAAGAGCUUCUCUGAAAGACUGGCAGUAUAGUAGUAGUCAGUGAUAAUAUUGAGCCUUAAUAUGUUCCAGACACUGUCCUAAGUGAUUUACCUUACAUUAUUCCCCUGAAUGUUUAUAAUUCCCAAGUGAAAGAAGGAAAUGAUAUAUUGGAUAGCUAUGAGUGGGGAGGUUUGUACUGGCUGCUUUCCCAUAAAGAAAUUAAGCACGUUCACGAAGGGCACGUAGUUUGUUAGUGUCUGGAACCCAGUUUUCGUGCCUGAAGUUCAAAUGUUCUUGCUACACCACCAUAGAAACUAACGUCACUCAGGAACCAUUUGUCAGGGCAAAGGGUGCCACCAUUUUGCAUUUCCUCCUGCCUUAGGACCAUCCUAAAUCACUCGCAUGGAGUGUUUUGGAAGAACUCUCAAGAGCUUCGUUUGCCUAGAGUCAGAAUUCCUAACCUUGAGUCCUGGUUUUGCCACAAACCCAAGCCGUUUGAUCUUGGGCAACUCCCGAAGAAAGCUGGGUUCAACUUCCUCACUGUCAAACUGGUUGUAGGUCUAGAUAAGUUUCAAGUACUCUUUUUAUGUGCAUGGUCUCUGACAUAGGAAGACUACAUACUGGGCCAGUAACAGGAAGGCACAAAGCUGACUGGAGGUUUAAAAAUUACUUGGUCAAUUUGAUUAAUGAGGAGAAUGAAUCAGAAAAUUUCAAGUUCUCCCGUGGCUAACUGUCGAGUAUCCACUUCAAGAUCAUUCCAUCGGAAAGAGGUCGAAAAUGUACAGUAGGCAUGCACAAAGGAUACCGCCUGGAAAGAAGGUAAAACUGGAAAACAGGAGGGAGGCGGGGCCCAAUUUUGGCUUCUCCUUCCG